rnacentral:lncRNA from 1 species
GUUCAGGCUGACCUCAACUGCAUGAAGGACCUCUACACAAUGAGUACAGACUAGGGUACUUGAUGAAUCUUUAUGGUAUGGAUUUUGCUAUUCAAACCAACCUGGAAAUUUUCAGGAAGCUCAAGUCAUUAAUGGGUGGAAACAACCUGGAAACUGAGACGAUGCUAGUCAAUAAGGAAGAAAAGUGGAAAAGAGGGCAUGCAGUUAUUAGUGGAAAGCUGACAAACAUGGGGACUGUCAAAAUGUGUCCUCCACUCGAAACAUCUCUUUUUUCAGGCAGUGCCUAUUUUGUGGUCAGUAGGGAGGACGUGGGGUAUAUGCUAGAGAAUGAAAAAAAUUUAAAAGUUUAUGGAGUAGGCCCAAGACACAUACAGCAAGUAUCUCUAGGCCACUGUUCAAAGGAUUCCCGAAGUCCCCAGCUCACUCUCCUUAAGCCGUAAGUAUGACUCUUCUGACAUGCAUGCAGCUUCUAGGUUUGUCAGGUGGCAGCACUUUGAAGCACUCUUUACCCACCUGCAGUAGGGCCCAUGUGCGCUCAGUGUGCCUUUUCGGAGCUGGCACCUUGAACUGGACACUGUGCAAGCACCAUUUGUUUGCCAAUAAGCCUGACACGGGUGGUGACCUCUUUGCCAUCCAGUGUUUAGAUGAGCAUCUGAGACAUACUUUGGAGACUUUAAAACAC